rnacentral:rRNA from 1 species
UACGUAGGGCGCAAGCGUUGUCCGGAAUUAUUGGGCGUAAAGAGCUCGUAGGCGGCCAGUUGCGUCCGCUGUGAAAUCCCGGGGCUUAACCCCGGGCGUGCAGUGGAUACGGGCUGGCUAGAGGCAGGCAGGGGAGAACGGAAUUCCCGGUGUGAGCGGUGAAAUGCGCAGAGUAUCGGGAGGAACACCGGUGGCGAAGGCGGUUCUCUGGGCCUGUACUGACGCUGAGGAGCGAAAGCGUGGGGAGCAAACAGG